UACGAAGGGGGCUAGCGUUGCUCGGAAUCACUGGGCGUAAAGCGCACGUAGGCGGAUUCUUAAGUCAGGGGUGAAAUCCUGGAGCUCAACUCCAGAACUGCCUUUGAUACUGGGAAUCUCGAGUCCGGGAGAGGUGAGUGGAACUGCGAGUGUAGAGGUGAAAUUCGUAGAUAUUCGCAAGAACACCAGUGGCGAAGGCGGCUCACUGGCCCGGAACUGACGCUGAGACGCGAAAGCGUGGGGAGCAAACAGG
rnacentral:rRNA from 1 species